rnacentral:rRNA from 1 species
AGUGAACGCUGUCGGUAGGCCUAACACAUGCAAGUCGAACGGCAGCACAGUAAGAGCUUGCUCUUACGGGUGGCGAGUGGCGGACGGGUGAGGAAUACAUCGGAAUCUACUUUUUCGUGGGGGAUAACGUAGGGAAACUUACGCUAAUACCGCAUACGACCUACGGGUGAAAGCAGGGGAUCUUCGGACCUUGCGCGAUUGAAUGAGCCGAUGUCGGAUUAGCUAGUUGGCGGGGUAAAGGCCCACCAAGGCGACGAUCCGUAGCUGGUCUGAGAGGGUGAUCAGCCACACUGGAACUGAGACACGGUCCAGACUCCUACGGGAGGCAGCAGUGGGGAAUAUUGGACAAUGGGCGCAAGCCUGAUCCAGCCAUACCGCGUGGGUGAAGAAGGCCUUCGGGUUGUAAAGCCCUUUUGUUGGGAAAGAAAAGCAGCAGGUUAAUACCCCGCUGUUCUGACGGUACCCAAAGAAUAAGCACCGGCUAACUUCGUG